UGGACCAAUGAUGACAGCGUGUCAUGAACUAAGGAUUCUAUUUAAUCCAAUUCUCUUACUUAAGAACAUU
rnacentral:snoRNA from 1 species